GUCUGUCCAGUUAGAUAUUCUUUUUCUUUUCUUUUUAAAAUAUCUUUUUCUCAUACACUUAUGUGAUAAAGUUAUAUAAAUGUCUGAAAUUAAGUCUGUAGCUCUGUUCAGUCCAUCUUGAGUAUUUUCAAAGUUUGUUUGUUGAAAAUUGUUUAAUUCUUCAUAUAUAUAUUUUUCAUUAAGCUCAUUCUCAAGCAAGAGUUUUGAAGUGUU
rnacentral:lncRNA from 1 species